UUACGGCUAUAUCACAUUGAAACGCAGAUUCUUAUACGAUCACCGAAGAUAAGCAAUAUCGAGCCUGGUCAGUACCUAGAUGGGUGACCGCUUAGGAAUACCAGAUG